CAGAAGAAGAGGGGCGAGAUUACUUAGCUAACAUACACCAUCUGACUCAUUUAGGAACUAAAAAAUUACUAAAAUUGGUUAGUAAGUCCCCCUAUUACAUUCCUAGAUUAAAAGGAAUUGUGGAAGAGAUAGUAAAAAACUGCCGUGCUUGUGCACUUACCAACGCUGGGUCUAGCAGGCUCCAGGAAGGAAAACGACUGCGAGGAGACAGACCUGGAGCCUACUGGGAAACUGACUUCACUGAGGUGAAACCGGCUAGGUGCCGCAUCAGUUUGAAGUAAGAGACGCAGUCCUGGUGAGGAGACACCGAGCGGGAAACCUAGAACCGAGGUGGAAGGGACCCUACUUGGUGCUACUGACAACGCCCACCGCGGUCAAAGUGGAAGGAAUCCCCACUUGGGUCCACGCAUCCCACGUUAAGAGAGCACCCCCUG